ACAGAGUACAUUUGAUGCAUGGCAGAGUACAUUUGAUGCAUGGCAGAGUACAUUUGAUGCAUGAUAGAGUACAUUUGAUGUAUGACAGAGUACAUUUGAUGUAUGACAGAGUACAUUUGAUGUAUGACAGAGUACAUUUGAUGUAUGACAGAGUACAUUUGAUGUAUGACAGAGUACAUUUGAUGUAUGACAGAGUACAUGUGAUGUAUAAUAAUGUAUUUUCUUUAAAUUUGGGAUACGUUUGAUCUGUGUUUCAAACUCGCUUCACAAUUUGGAAAAAUAUUUUUGUUUCUGGAGAUGCUUCUCUUUAAGAGACGUUGGCACCUUCAAAGAGAUUGUUCAAAUCCUUAGAUGUGAAUAUGAAAAACUUCUAGUGCUUUGAUAUCAGAGAGAUAAGUUAGAAUGUUCCUACUACUCAUUAGUUCGUCAUCAAGAAAACUGGGAACAUGUUGAUGGGGAACUUUGAUAAUAGUUCAACUGGAACUUGUAAUGUCGUCACGUGCUGUGUUUCAAUACCCGCUGCCCUCUGUUUAGUAUUACGAUAAUCUGCAAAGUAAAACAGUAAUACAUUCUGAUGAUCAAUGAUCAUUUUGUCUCUGCUACAGAUUUAGAGUCUCUACUAAAGAUAGAACGUCUCUAAUACUGAUAAAAAGUCUCUACUACAGAUAGAAAGUCUCUACUACUGAUAACAAGUCUCUACUACAGAUAGAAAGUCUCUACUACAGAUAGAAAGUCUCUACUACUGAUAGAAAGUCUCUACUACAGAUUUAGAGUCUCUACUACGGAUUGAAAAUCUCUACUACUGAUAGAAAGUCUCUACUACUGAUAGAAAGAAUCUACUACAGAUUGAAAAUCUCUUCAACAGAUUUUUCUGGAGUAUCUACAUUGAAGGAUAGUCACUUAUGAAAAUUCGUGUUAACUUUAUGCCAUUAUUGAAACGUUUUAUCCAAGCAGCGAGAGUCUAUUUAUAGUGACACUUCUCCAACCUGGAUGAACUGGCGAAUCCAUUGACCUACUUACCUAUUUAUGCCAUAGUGUAUUGUGUGUAUUUAUCCCUAAUCAUCAUAUUUAAUGCUAUAUCUAGAAAACAAAUUAAUCCAAAAUGAAUUAUUUUUCGACAUACACACAUUCAUCAUGAUAUUAAAUAUCUGAUCAAAUACAUUCUGAAAUGCACUCUAAAAAGUCUGUAAUUGAAACAAACCAAAAAAAAAUGUAA
rnacentral:sRNA from 1 species